rnacentral:rRNA from 1 species
AUACGGAGGGUGCGAGCGUUAAUCGGAAUUACUGGGCGUAAAGCGCUCGUAGGCGGCUUGUUAAGUCGGAUGUGAAAGCCCCGGGCUCAACCUGGGAACUGCAUUCGAUACUGGCAGGCUAGAGUAUAGUAGAGGCAAGUGGAAUUCCGGGUGUAGCGGUGAAAUGCGUAGAUAUCCGGAGGAACAUCAGUGGCGAAGGCGACUUGCUGGACUAAUACUGACGCUAAGGAGCGAAAGCGUGGGGAGCAAACGGUAUUAGAAACCCCAGUAGUCC